rnacentral:lncRNA from 1 species
CUGAGGGGCGAGAGCCCCCAAGGCUGUGGGUAUGAGGCCGGGGCCCUGCACCGGAAGGGAGGGCGGAAGCCACGGGACGUGGAGCAGAUGGUGAGGAUAGUGGGGAGGUAGCAGCAGAGGAUGACCCGAGGCAAAAGUGCAAGUGAAGAAAAGUCGCCUUGCCGGGCAGAGGUACGGGACCAAGGCGCCUCCUCUGGGCUGAGGAGUUAGAGGGAAGAAAAUGGCGCCCUGUCAUGAGGGCGCGAGGUCCGAGUUGAGGGGAGAAGACUGAGGGACACAGAAGUGGCCGAAGUGAGGGCGCUGAGGUCAGCCUGAGCUGAGAGGGCCGGCAGAUCACGCCGCAGCCGAAGUGAACGAACUCGAGUGAGGAAAUUACUCCAGGAUUUGAAUCAUCACAAGAGAUUCACCAGAGGAUUUUAUACACUUGGGCUGUGGCAGCAGACUAAUUACAUCACAGCACUAGGUAAGAUACCGGGAGUCCGGAUCCUCAGGACUUAUGAAAAUAAAAAGCAUUACUGUAAUAUUA